CUUGGAUCUUUUUUUGUUCUUUUUUUUUUUUUUCUCUUCUGAGUGUCCUUGGCCUGGACUAGAAAUUCUCCAUCCUUCGGCCUUCUGCGAGACUGCAGGAACAUUACUUUUGAAGGAUGCUAAGGAAUCCGAGGGAUGAAAAAAAUUAAGAGAUUGCAAUGAUGUCACAAAACAAGGAAACAAGGCAGGAGAGAGUCCAUGAAAUUGGGGGGAGUCCAAAGAGGGAGUGUUUCUGUCCUUGGAACUCACCUUUUCUUCUCUCCAUUUCUCCUCUUCUCCUUCCCAUCUAGUGCAGCAUCUUCACUCCGAAGCAGAAAUUUGCCAAAAAAGCAUCCUCUUUUUAUCAGAAAAUAAAAUAUCCUGGUUUCUUAGCCUGGCAAUUGAGCUAAUCAGUGGAAUCAAGGGAAACUUUUUUGUUUGAGAUGGAGUCUCCCUCUGUCACCCAGGCUGGAGUGCAGUGGCACAGUCUUGGCUUACUGCAACCUCCACCUCCCGGGUUCAAGUGAUUCACCUGCCUCACCUUCCGGAGUAGCUGGGGUUACAAGCAUUCCUGAGACCACAGGCGUGUGCCACCAUGGCUAGCUAAUUUUUGUAUUUUAUUUUUGUAGAGACAGGGUUUUGCCAUGCUGCCUAGGCUGGUCUCAAACUCCUGGGCUCAAGUGAUCCACCCACCUGGCAAACGUCUAUGAAUUCCAUCAGAGGGCCUUACUGUGAAUGUAGGUUCUGUCCAGGAAGCUGUCCAGGAAGCUGUGAGAUCUUGGGCAAGUUACAUAUCUCUCUGUCUUUCAGUUUCUUGCGGUGGCUCACGCCUGUAAUCCCAGCACUUUGGGAGGCCGAGGCGGGCGGAUCACGAGGUCAAGAGAUCAAGACCAUCCUGGCCAACAUGGUGAAACCCCAUGUCUACUAAAAAUACAAAAAUGAGCCAGGUGUGGUGAUAUGUCAGGUCUGCAGUGAAGCUGUCUCGGGCAAAUGGGAAUAUAUGGUCACAUUAUUUAUGAACCCACUGCAGCUCUACUGCUCACCAUUGUCCACCUUGACCUCUCCCUACUCAGAGACUAUGACAGUCCCUGUUCGUUGUAGCAUUUACUUAACUCUUAGC
rnacentral:lncRNA from 1 species